UACGAAGGGGGCUAGCGUUGCUCGGAAUCAUUGGGCGUAAAGCGCGCGUAGGCGGCUAGAUCAGUCUGCUGUAAAAGUCAAAGGCUCAACCUUUGAAAGCCGGUGGAUACUGUCUAGCUAGAGUCCGGAAGGGGCGAGUGGAAUUCCUGGUGUAGCGGUGGAAUGCGCAGAUAUCAGGAGGAACACCAACGGCGAAGGCAGCUCGCUGGGACGGUACUGACGCUAAGGCGCGAAAGCGUGGGGAGCGAACAGG
rnacentral:rRNA from 1 species